CUAAAGCUAAAGGCAAACUGGAUUCUGUUCAGGAGGUUCUCCUUUGUCAUUUUUAUCUCCUAAUAGAAGACCUCUGUUUUCCCAGAAGAUUAAAUAAUAGAAAAGAAGUAGCACAAGCCCUGGACAACUUUCAGGAAGACAGUUCUGAUCUGUAGCAAUUAACACGUGGUCAUCCUCAGAAAAAGGAGAUACCCAUAACUUAAAAUGCAGGAACCAAGAGAUUUGAGCCUAGACAUUUGGAUGAAAAGUGAUUUCCACCUGGAGAAAGUCACUGCCCUUCUGUGCAGAG